rnacentral:lncRNA from 1 species
CAGUUUCUUUUAACUUUGUAAAAGUGACGCAAUUUUUUUAGUGAAUUAUUAACAUAUUUUAUAUUAAAAGAAUAUGGGUAUUAUCAUUCCAGAAGAGAAGGUUGAAAAAAAAUGCAAUACCAUCUCAAAACUCUUCUAUUAAAAGCCAUGACAAAGUUUUAACAGAAAAGCACAUUUUCCCGAACCACGUUUGCACAUACAUGUAGCUUGACUGUCUGCUUCUUUUUGUGUAAUGUUUAUCACAUAUGAUGAAGAUUUCAGGGCACUUGUUCGUAAACAUAAUGCCUCAACACACCAUGCAAUUUCAGACUUUCGAGAUUUCAGGCCACACGAAAUUAUGUGGCUAGCAUUCAAUGUAGUUUCACCCUCGAUUACACAACGUUUACUAUAUAUUUCAGUUGUAUUUAAAAAAUUAAAAAUAUCUGACAAAGAUAUUGCCAUCGCUAUCAUAUGUUGUUUUCAGCCCAACCAAAUGAGCUGUUUUUUGUCCAAAAGAGAGGAAAAAGAGCUAGCGAGCUGUACAUACGCUUAAGCUUACUGUGUUAUGUCAUUCACCUUUUAGCCGGCCAUUGCACCUGCACAAAGUGCCCUCUAUAGUUGGUGGUGGAUCUCAAUAAACUAGAAACAUUUUCACUUCAGCCUUCCUCCUCAGAUCAAAUCAGAGGACCAAUCGAAAUGAUCAGCUUCUUAAAACAACAAUGCCACAGAUGGAAGAGUACUAUCUUUAUAUGCACAUUUUUGAGAAAUCAAUAAAACAAUUCUUACAAAAAUACAUCAUCUUUAACACUAAAUUGCCAUAUUUUAAGCAAAAUUAAUAAUAUAAAACAUAACUAAUUUUAAAUAUUGAUAUUACAAAGAACAUUGAACUAUACAAAAAAUUCAAUGGUAAAGGAAGCAAAUGGUUUACACCUGUUCUCUAUUUAAGAUCUUUAGCAAAACUAAACAUCCAGGUAUAAACCAUUUGUUUA